UACGAAGGGUGCGAACGUUGUUCGGAAUUACUGGGCGUAGAGGGCGCGCAGGCGGCUGUGCAAGUCAGAUGUGAAAGCCCCGGGCUUAACCUGGGAACUGCAUUUGAUACUCUAGAGCUUGAGUACGGGAGAGGAGAGUGGAAUUCCCAGUGUAGAGGUGAAAUUCGUAGAUAUUGGGAAGAACACCGGUGGCGAAGGCGGCUCUCUGGACCGUAACUGACGCUGAGGCGCGAAAGCGUGGGGAGCAAACAGG
rnacentral:rRNA from 1 species